GGGAGGCUGUGAGGGAAAUUUAAAUGUGGCUUUCCAAAGGCUGCAUGAGAGAGAAUAUUGAGUGGCUGGUUUUCAUUUGGGGAAAUACAGAAUUUGUGUCCAAAUUACUGGAGUUCAGGCCAUCAACUGAUCAUAUUGAACAGGAAGCAAAGCAGUGACAUGCUCGACAGGCUUGAAUCAUGCACGAGACGAAAGUAAGGGCGCGGCCUGAUGAAGAUGUAAAGUAAUAUCCCUGCAGCUCACAAGGUUAGGGGUGCCAAUUAACCCCAGAUGGUAGGAGUAGCCCACACGAGAGGUGACGUGAGGUGAUUCGCCAUAACUUUGGUAUUAGUCUCAUAAUGCAAGCUGACGGUGGGGAUUUCAGAAGCAGGGAGGAGGGGGAGUGAGGGGUCCGGAGGGUUCGUGUUCAGGCCUCUUCUGUGAAUCAUGCAGCCUAGCGUGCGAUCGGCACACUGCCCUCCUCUUGACUCCCUCAUAAGCUCUGUUACAAUAACACACUUGCCUUCUUUCACUCCGGCCCUCACCCCGAACCUCCCCUCUCCAAAAAUCCCCCCACCCACCAGCACCAACACUCUCUGGAAAACACAGGAAGAAAAAAAAAGAAAACAGUGACAGUUUUCUGAAAGAUAAAAGAUUGAGGGAAUGUAUUUAGUCUAUUGGCUAUCUGUAAAAUGUCCAGCAUAACUGUGAAGACAAAAAAGAUCGAUGUUAUUUGUAUUAUUAUUAUUAUUAUUCCCCCCCCCCCUUUAAUUAAUUUCUCCCCGGAGCUCCAGAAGCAAAUAAGGAGCAGACAUCGACGGUUUCUACUCUACUCCUCAUCCUCAACACUGAAGCCUGAAUACAGUGCAAGUCAAGGUUAACAGUGCCAUCUACAGUAGAGAGGGAACCAGUCCAUCCUGUGUCUUGCUGUCUGAGAGGUACAGAUAGGGAUAUAUCUGAUCAGCCAACCUGUAGUUAUUAGGGAGCGUACAGUAAAAGCAGGCCUCUUUUUAGCAAAUGUUUUAGGGUACUGCUAACAAAUAUUCACCAACAGCAGUUGUGUGAAAUUGUAGAAAAAAUGUAAUGCAACGUUUGAUAUAGAUGUAGAACCAAGUUGUAAUAGAUGUAGAGUCAUGUAGAUAUAGAUUCUGAAAAUAAAUAAGGAAGCACAAUAUAAUUUAAUGAUGAUACAAAUGUAAAAUAUUGCAGGAUUGCUAAAUGAAAAAAUCCCUUGAGUGUUGCUAACAGCUUGAUAAAACACAGCAUUGAUAAUAAUAAAGUAAAGAGGAAAAACAAAAAGGAUACUGUGCAUGAAUGUUUUGAAAUGUGAUCAGUGACAAAAUGGCUUUGCUCAAUGUAUAUCCUAUUCCUAUUUCAACCAUGCAUACAUGCCAGCACCCGUGAUAACGUUACUAAAAUAAAGGUGAAAGUGCAAUGGCAGGUCGUGUUGUGGCAAGAUUCCCAGGAUAAGCAAGCUUUAUUGGCAAAUAUCGAAUAUCAAACUUCAAUUGUUAUUUUAUUAAUACACUAUAUCGCAAAUAUUUCAAUCUACAGGUCUGACUUACACCUCGAUGGAUAAUAUGAGAAGGUCAUUAAUUUAAGGGUCCUUUUCCAGUCUAUAAGAUCACACACAUCCCAAGAGAGUUUCAGUAUGACACUGCACUCGGAAAUUAAGCUGAUUCAAAUAGUUGUAAUACCCCUACUUAAAAAUAUCUAAAACUAUACAAAGAAAUCCAUUCUUACUUUAUUUCCUCAGUGUGAUUAUUAUUAGAGGAUUCCUAAACAGUUGUUUAUCCAUCAAAGCAUGAACAAGGCUAAGUGAGUGACAUGGACUAAUUCUCAGUUUACUAAUUUAGCUCAUCAAUGUCAGAGACUAUACACAGGGAUUCAGAGAUUUACCCGUUUGCCUUUCAAGGGAGAGAGAAAAAAAAGGCUACAGACGGACCAUUACUGUUUAUCCUCAGCCUUAUCACUAGUGGCGAUGGGCUUGUAAAUAUUAUCCUAUUUUCCUUAAUCCACUGCACAACGCCGUGCUCACCCACUUACCGGAAGCUCCGACAUUUACCUUCGGGAUUUGCUGGGGCUUGGGCUAGAGUGGCUGCGAGUGGGAAAGUGCUAAUCUACAAGGCAGAUUCAGGAUUAGUGCGGUGAGCCAGGUGACCCAGGGGCCCGAGAUCCUAUUGGCCGGAGGAGAUGUAGGCCUGUGGUCCUUGGCAGGGGGUGACAGACGAGAGGAAACUAGCUAAGUAAGGGGAGGGGGGUUCUCCCCAACUCUGCUUUCUAGUUGUUUCUCCCAUUCUCCUUUUUUUAUGUCUUUAUCCCCCCUUUCUCUCUUCCACUCUCUCUCUCACUCUCUCUGAAGGAGCCCUGAUGAGAAUUCCACUAAUCAGCUGAGGAUUAACAGGGACUCAGAUAACACUACAUCUAAUUCCCCCUUCACAGCCACUGGGGCAACCAGAGGGCCCCACGCAGCACUGCAGCACACUGAACAUAUCACUGUGCAUGUGUAUGUGAAUACUUCUAUUGUGUUAUAAGGAAUCAUUUCACCUGUUGAUUUAGACAUUAUGAGUCUUUACUAUGAGUCAAAUGUACUAAUUUAGUUCUUCCUUUGUGCUAACUCAUAUGCUAGUAUAUGUUUUCCCAAGUAAAUGUAAGUACUGCCUCGAUUGUAAUCAAGGGCAACAUGGGGCGGU